rnacentral:rRNA from 2 species
CUAAUACAUGCAAGUCGAGCGAAUCGACGGGAGCUUGCUCCCUGAGAUUAGCGGCGGACGGGUGAGUAACACGUGGGCAACCUGCCUAUAAGACUGGGAUAACUUCGGGAAACCGGAGCUAAUACCGGAUACGUUCUUUUCUCGCAUGAGAGAAGAUGGAAAGACGGUUUACGCUGUCACUUAUAGAUGGGCCCGCGGCGCAUUAGCUAGUUGGUGAGGUAAUGGCUCACCAAGGCGACGAUGCGUAGCCGACCUGAGAGGGUGAUCGGCCACACUGGGACUGAGACACGGCCCAGACUCCUACGGGAGGCAGCAGUAGGGAAUCUUCCGCAAUGGACGAAAGUCUGACGGAGCAACGCCGCGUGAACGAAGAAGGCCUUCGGGUCGUAAAGUUCUGUUGUUAGGGAAGAACAAGUACCAGAGUAACUGCUGGUACCUUGACGGUACCUAACCAGAAAGCCACGGCUAACUACGUGCCAGCAGCCGCGGUAAUACGUAGGUGGCAAGCGUUGUCCGGAAUUAUUGGGCGUAAAGCGCGCGCAGGUGGUUCCUUAAGUCUGAUGUGAAAGCCCACGGCUCAACCGUGGAGGGUCAUUGGAAACUGGGGAACUUGAGUGCAGAAGAGGAAAGUGGAAUUCCAAGUGUAGCGGUGAAUUGCGUAGAGAUUUGGAGGAACACCAGUGGCGAAGGCGACUUUCUGGUCUGUAACUGACACUGAGGCGCGA